GGCCGCGGGAACUCGAUUAGAGUUUGAUCCUGGCUCAGAAUCAACGCUGGCGGCGUGCCUAACACAUGCAAGUCGAACGAGAAAGUGGAGCAAUCCAUGAGUAAAGUGGCGACCGGGUGAGUAACACGUGACCAACCUACCCUCGAGUGGGGAACAACCUCGGGAAACCGGGGCUAAUACCGCAUAAUGUCUUUGGGGUGCAAUUCCCUGGGGAUCAAAGGAGCAAUUCGCUUGAGGAGGGGGUCGCGGCUGAUUAGCCAGUUGGCGGGGUAAUGGCCCACCAAGGCGAAGAUCGGUAGCCGGCCUGAGAGGGCGCACGGCCACACUGGAACUGAAACACGGUCCAAACUCCUACGGGAGGCAGCAGUGGGGAAUUUUGCGCAAUGGGGGAAACCCUGACGCAGCAACGCCGCGUGGAGGAUGAAGUCCUUUGGGACGUANACUCCUUUCGACCGGGACGAUAAUGACGGUACCGGUGGAAGAAGCCCGGCUAACUCUGUGCCAGCAGCCGCGGUAAUACAGGGGGGGCGAGCGUUGUUCGGAAUUAUUGGGCGUAAAGGGCGCUUAGGCGGUGCGGGUAAGUCACCUGUGAAACUUCGGGGGCUUAACUCAGAACCUGCCGGCCGAAACUGGCCGGGCUGGAAUUGUGGGAGAGGGUCCGUGGAAUUCCCCGGUGUUACCGGCGACAUGGCCUACAUAUCGGGGAGGACACCCUGGUGGCAAAAACGGGGGCACGGCAACCGCACUGGACUGUUAGCGCUCUAAGAACUAGGGGCAGCAACCGGGAUCAGAUCGGCCUUCAACCCUCCCCCCAAUGCCGGGUAGGCUGGGGGGUCGCGCUAACCACCUCCCAGACACGUGGGACCACGGAG
rnacentral:rRNA from 1 species